rnacentral:rRNA from 1 species
GACGAACGCUGGCGGCGUGCUUAACACAUGCAAGUCGAACGGAAAGGCCCUUCGGGGUACUCGAGUGGCGAACGGGUGAGUAACACGUGGGUGAUCUGCCCUGCACUUUGGGAUAAGCCUGGGAAACUGGGUCUAAUACCGAAUACACCUCAUUGGCUGCAUGGUUGGUGGGGGAAAGCUUUUGCGGUGUGGGAUGGGCCCGCGGCCUAUCAGCUUGUUGGUGGGGUGAUGGCCUACCAAGGCGACGACGGGUAGCCGGCCUGAGAGGGUGACCGGCCACACUGGGACUGAGAUACGGCCCAGACUCCUACGGGAGGCAGCAGUGGGGAAUAUUGCACAAUGGGCGCAAGCCUGAUGCAGCGACGCCGCGUGAGGGAUGACGGCCUUCGGGUUGUAAACCUCUUUCGCCAGGGACGAAGCGCAAGUGACGGUACCUGGAGAAGAAGGACCGGCCAACUACGUGCCAGCCGCCGCGGUAACAC